rnacentral:rRNA from 1 species
UGAGGAAUACUGGUCAAUGGACGGAAGUCUGAACCAGCCAAGUCGCGUGAAGGAAGACGGUUCUAUGGAUUGUAAACUUCUUUUGCCUGAGGGUAAAACGCGGUACGUGUACCGCCUUGUAAGUAUCAGGUGAAUAAGCAUCGGCUAACUCCGUGCCAGCAGCCGCGGUAAUACGGAGGAUGCGAGCGUUAUCCGGAUUUAUUGGGUUUAAAGGGUGCGUAGGCGGGAUGUUAAGUCAGCGGUGAAAGUUUGCGGCUCAACCGUAAAAUUGCCGUUGAAACUGGCGUUCUUGAGUGUAAACGAGGUAGGCGGAAUGUGACGUGUAGCGGUGAAAUGCUUAGAUAUCACGAAGAACUCCGAUUGCGAAGGCAGCUCGCUGUAGCAUUACUGACGCUGAAGCUCGAAGGUGCGGGGUAUCGAACAGGAUUAGAUACCCUGGUAGU